UACGAAGGGGGCUAGCGUUGCUCGGAAUUACUGGGCGUAAAGCGCGCGUAGGCGGAUCGCUAAGUCAGGGGUGAAAUCCCAGGGCUCAACCCUGGAACUGCCUUUGAUACUAACGGUCUGGAGAUCGGGAGAGGUUGGUGGAAUUCCGAGUGUAGAGGUGAAAUUCGUAGAUAUUCGGAGGAACACCAGAAGCGAAGGCGGCCAACUGGCCCGAUACUGACGCUGAGGCGCGAAAGCGUGGGGAGCAAACAGG
rnacentral:rRNA from 1 species